GGAUGGACCUUUUGGGAGGUAACUGAAUCAUGAAGGCAGGUCUUUUCUGUGCUGUUCUCAUGAUAGUGAAUACAUCUCACAAGAUGUGAUGGUUCUAUAAGGAGGAGUUUCCCUGCAAAAGCUCUCUCUCUCUUUGCUUGCUGCCAUCCAUGUAAGGCAUGAUUUGCCCCUCUUUGCCUUCCACCAUAAUGUGAGGCCUCCACAACCAUGUGGAACUGGAAGUCUGUUAAGUCUCUUUCUUUUGUAAAUUGCCCAGUUUCAGGUAUGUUUUUAUCAGCAGUGUGA